rnacentral:tRNA from 7 species
AGGGAUAUAGUUCAGUUGGUAGAACGUUGGUCUCCAAAACCAAAUGUCGAGGGUUCGAGUCCUUCUGUCCCUGCUA